rnacentral:rRNA from 1 species
AUUGCCUAGUACGGCGAGUGAAGCGGCAAGAGCUCAAAUUUGAAAGCUGGCCCCCUCGGGGUCCGCAUUGUAAUUUGCAGAGGAUGCUUCGGGAACGGCCCCCAUCUAAGUGCCCUGGAACGGGCCGUCAUAGAGGGUGAGAAUCCCGUAUGUGACCGGCCCGCACCUUCUACGUAGCUCCUUCGACGAGUCGAGUUGUUUGGGGAUGCAGCUCUAAAUGGGAGGUAAAUUUCUUCUAAAGCUAAAUACCGGCCAGAGACCGAUAGCGCACAAGUAGAGUGAUCGAAAGAUGAAAAGCACUUUGGAAAGAGAGUUAAACAGCACGUGAAAUUGUUAAAAGGGAAACGAUUGAAGUCAGUCGUGUGGGAGGUAUUCAGCCGUCUCUGGCGGUGUAUUUGCCUCUCACGGGUCAACAUCAGUUUGAUCCGGUAGAAAAAGGCGGGAGGAAGGUGGCACCCUCGGGUGUGUUAUAGCCUCCUGUCACAUGUGCCGGACCAGACUGAGGAACGCAGCUCGCAGCAAUGCCGGGGUUCGCCCACGUACGAGCUUAGGAUGUUGACAUAAUGGCUUUAAACGACCCGUCUUGAACAACGGACCAAA